GUAUCCUUUCUCGUGCUUGAACUGAACAAACUCCUUUUUACUGUUAACUUCUUUUCUAAUCCGUCGAAAUCCCCCAAGGUCUGAUAACUCUUCUCACUCAGGUAAUUUUAAAUUAUGUUAAUGUGCCUUUUUGGAUUUAGUUUGAUGAAUUUUCUUUUGUUGUCUGUGUGGAUCAGAAGCAACAUGAAAUGGAUUGAAGACAGCGCUUACUACCAGAGCAUUGAAAAAAGAUCCAAACUUUUACACCCAUGUACUCGUACAAUUAGUUUUAGAAAGAUGGAGUGGUAUUCGUAUUAAGAGAGAUACUAGAAUAGGGAAAAGAGGCGUCCCAUGUAACAAGAAAGUUUGCUUACAGAACAACAAAACCAGAGAUGCAUCUUUCUCUUUAUUUUGUUUUGUUUCAGGCCUCAAUGCGUGGGAAAAGCAGGGAGACGAAAGCAAACAUGGGGAUCAAAGAGGCUUUACCGGGUUGUGACGAGUGUGUUGUUACUAUAUAUUCAACUAGCGAGGAUACGAAUUAUAUUGGAGAUGAUGGAGAGUUUGUUUGUACAAGAGAACAUUAUCGAAAGAUUAUUCUCCAAUGGUUGAUGUCGAAGGUAACUCAGGUCUUUUACUGGAUAUUGACGUGAACAUUGAAACGGAAACAACAAAUUCUCAAAUCUCAAUGUUCUGCUCUCUCCCACACGUCCUUGUGGCUACAAAAGUCUAGUUGUUAAUGGACCCCUUGAAAGCAUUUCUUCUGAUCUUGCUUUAGAUACAUUAGCUGAAGGCUUGGUGGUUAGCGUAUGUCUUGGUGGCUCAUUUGGAUUUGGAUAUGUUCUGUAUUCAAUUAUUAAUCAUGUUCCUUGGCUUGUAUGUUACAGUGUGUAGGUGGAACUCUGUGCAUAAGUAGAUUGGAGGGGAUGUGCUAGAGAAUGAUUUUGUGG